UUCUUACAUUUAUGAAACUGUUGUUGGUAAUGCGAUAACACUGGGUCAGCUGUGUGCUUGGACUGACCCUGAUGGCACCAGGGGGAACCGUGCAAGCUUCUCAGACACUGAGGUGGACGGGAGGGCAGCCCUGCACAGAGGAAGUGGUUCGGGACAAUACAACAGCAAGUGGAAAGCUCAGACAACCAGUUCAAAACCCAGAAGCGAGCUCUGUAAUCAUGAGAGAAUGAAGUCUUGGCCCGAUCUCCACAGAAGCAUGCAGGGACUCGACCAGAGGGAGCUGCAGCCGGGAACUUGGCAGCCAGCCUUCCCCAUAAACGAGCAGACUGACAUAGCUGUGGCUAAAUGUAGGAAGCCAUAUCCUCCUGUAUCAAGAGCGGCAGGAGAGCAUGGGCAUUUGUGUCUGAGUAUGCUCUUGGAGCUUACAGAAAAUCAGAGGAUGACUGAGGGUCAAAGAGGACAAAGGGCAACCAAAGAGUGUGGCUUGUAAAUGCAUCAAAAGGAGGAAAUCGGCUCUACUACCUUAAUCCAGGAGCGAGAAACAUGCAAACUGGGACUCCCAGGACUGGAGGCUCUGGUUCAAGCCCACCUCUUUGCUGGGUUAAGAGUCCUUACUGUACCUCAACUUCUCCAUCAGCAAUCUGCUUUCUUGGGGGGGGGACGAGUGUAAAUAACACUAUUAACUGCACAUGGGCUUCUUUCUCGGUUAGCACAUAACCACAGUAACUUUCAGAGAGUCAUUACCAAGCUGCGCCUUCAUCUGUCCAUUUAACAACUAUAUUUGAAUGCUCACUGCGUGUCACAUGUCGGUCACUGGGCUUCAUUGCUGAGCAGACCUCAAUUUGCUGCGCUUGUGGCUUAAAGCCUAAUAAUGAGACUAGGAAAUGCUAUGUCUUCACUACUGGGCACCUUCAUUUGUUCCCUAACCCGUGUGUGAGCACGGACUGACACAGACUGCACUCCCACAAUACAGCACACUUUUGUCACUUUAAACAGUGACUCAACUUAGGAUUUCCAGACACAACCGAAUCUGCACUGUGUGAGGCUGGAGAAAUGUCGGCACGUAUUUAAAACCAGAGAAGAAAGAGCAAGACUGAACAACUCUCCCAAGAAGACCCUCAGGCCUGCUUACUGACAACCCUGUACACCUAGCCUGGAGCACACACGUUAAAUGAAACAAGCCAGAAACAAAUAUCACGUGAAACCCAAAAAACAAAAGUCAUAGAGACGGUGAGCAGAAUGCUGGGUGCAGGAACUGGAGCAGAGUAUGUGGGAGAAUAAAGGAGAUGCCGACAAAGAGUAAAAAAGUCUCGGGCAAGAGGAAAAUUCCAAGAGAUCUGUUGUUCUGGUUGUUUUCCUUUUAUUGGGAUUUGUUGGAUGGUUUUCGUUUCGUUGUUUUUGUUCUGGUUUGGUUUGGUUUGGUUUGGUUUGGUUUGGUUUGGUUUGGUUGUAAACUUGACAGAAGCUAAAGUUUUCUUUGAGGAAGAACCUCAGUUGAAGAAACGCCUUCAUCAGAUUGGCCUGUAGGCAAGUCAGUAAAGCAUCUUCUUGACUGACGAUUGAUUGGGGUUCGGGGGGCUAUGCCAGAACCCCUUGAUCAGAGCCAGCACUGGGUAGAAGGAAGAAGCUGCCUUGGCAAGCCAUGCCGGGCAAGCCAGUGACUUGCAUCCUGGCCUCUGCUCCAGAUUCCUGCCCUGAUUACCCUGUAUGACAGGUACAACCGUAAGCCGAAAUAGCCUUUUCCUGUUCCAGCUGCUUCUGGUCAUGGCAUUUUAUCACACCGCAAUAAAAAGUCACUCGAGCAAUGGCGGAUAUGAUUAAUAGUGAAAGUUUUGUUUACUUGAGAGCGUGGGUUUUAAAUGUUC